rnacentral:rRNA from 1 species
ACUCCUACGGGAGGCAGCAGUGGGGAAUAUUGGACAAUGGGCGCAAGCCUGAUCCAGCCAUGCCGCGUGUGUGAAGAAGGCCUUUUGGUUGUAAAGCACUUUAAGCGAGGAGGAGACUACCCUGACUAAUAAUUGGGAGUAGUGGACGUUACUCGCAGAAUAAGCACCGGCUAACUCUGUGCCAGCAGCCGCGGUAAUACAGAGGGUGCAAGCGUUAAUCGGAUUUACUGGGCGUAAAGCGUGCGUAGGUGGCCAAUUAAGUCAAAUGUGAAAUCCCCGAGCUUAACUUGGGAAUUGCAUUCGAUACUGGUUGGCUAGAGUAUGGGAGAGGAUGGUAGAAUUCCAGGUGUAGCGGUGAAAUGCGUAGAGAUCUGGAGGAAUACCGAUGGCGAAGGCAGCCAUCUGGCCUAAUACUGACACUGAGGUACGAAAGCAUGGGGAGCAAACAGGAUUAGAUACCCU